UAGAGUUUUAUAACUCCCAAACCCAUGUGAACUUACCAUUGUUGCCUCGGCGGAGCCUACCCUGUAGUUACCCUGUAAGGGCCUACCCUGUAGUGACCUCCGCCGGUGGAAUUUCAAACUCUUGUUAUUUUAAAUGAAUCUGAGCGUCUUAUUUUAAUAAGUCA
rnacentral:misc_RNA from 1 species